rnacentral:rRNA from 1 species
GAUGAACGCUGGCGGCGUGCCUAACACAUGCAAGUCGAGCGAACGGACGAGAAGCUUGCUUCUUUGAUGUUAGCGGCGGACGGGUGAGUAACACGUGGAUAACCUACUUAUAAGACUGGGAUAACUUCGGGAAACCGGAGCUAAUACCGGAUAAUAUUUUGAACCGCAUGGUUCAAAAGUGAAAGACGGUCUUGCUGUCUCUUAUAGAUGGUUCCGCGCUGCAUUAGCUAGUUGGUAAGGUAACGGCUUACCAAGGCAACGAUGCGUAGCCGACCUGAGAGGGUGAUCGGCCACACUGGAACUGAGACACGGUCCAGACUCCUACGGGAGGCAGCAGUAGGGAAUCUUCCGCAAUAGGCGAAAGCCUGACGGAGCGACGCCGCGUGAGUGAUGAAGGUCUUCGGAUCGUAAAGCUCUGUUAUUAGGGAAGAACAUAUGUGUAAGUAACUGUGCACAUCUUGACGGUACCUAAUCAGAAAGCCACGGCUAACUACGUG